CCUACGGGUGGCAGCAGUGGGGGAUAUUGCACAAUGGGGGAAACCCUGAUGCAGCGACGCCGGGUGUGGGAAGACGGUCCUCUGGAUUGUAAACCACUGUCCCCAGGGACGAAGAUGACGGUACCUGGGGAGGAAGCUCCGGCUAACUACGUGCCAGCAGCAGCGGUAAUACGGGGGUGCAAGCGUUGUCCGGAAUCAUUGGGCGGAAGGAGUUCGUAGGUGGCACGUUAAGUCUGGUGGUAAAGGCGGAAGCUCAACUUCCGUAGGGCACUGGAUACUGGCGAGCUUGAAUGCGGUAGAGGUAAAGGGAAUUCCUGGUGUAGCGGUGAAAUGCGUAGAUAUCAGGAGGAACAUCGGUGGCGUAAGCGCUUUACUGGGCCGUAAUUGACACUGAGGAACGAAAGCCGGGGUAGCAAAUGGGAUUAGAUACCCGUGUAGUC
rnacentral:rRNA from 1 species